rnacentral:rRNA from 1 species
GAGUUUGAUCCUGGCUCAGGAUAAACGCUGGCGGCAUGCUUAACACAUGCAAGUCAAUUCGAGAGUAGUAAUACUGAUAGGAUGGCGAACGGGUGAGUAACACGUGAGUAAUCUGCCCUCAAGACUGGGAUAGCUUGUCGAAAGACAGGAUAAUACCGGAUAAGCCCACAGGACUGCAUAGUCUGGUGGGAAAAGCUAAAUGCACUUGAGGAGGGGCUCGCGUCCCAUUAGCUAGUUGGUGAGGUAACGGCCCACCAAGGCGACGAUGGGUAGCCGGCCUGAGAGGGUGUACGGCCACAAGGGAACUGAGGACACGGUACCUUACUCCUACGGGAAGCAGCNGUGGGGAAUAUUGUUCAAUGGACGAAAGUCUGAAACAGCAAUGCCGCGUGGAUGAUGAAGGCCUUCGGGUUGUAAAGACCUUUUCGAUUGGGAAGAAGAAAAAUGACGGUACCAAGUAAAAGAAGCCACGGUCUAAUCUCGUGCCAGCAGCCGCGGGUAAAGACUAGUAGUGGGCAAGCGUUUAUCCGGGAAUUUCUGGGCGUUAAAGAGCGCGUUAGGGGGUUUUUGAAAGAUCAGGGGGUGGAAAGGUCAUGGGUCUUAACCCGAGGCCCUUGCCCUUUUGAACACUUCAAUACUAAGAAGGUACAAGGUAAUAGGUAGGGUUAGUAACUACCGAAUGGUAUCCGAGGGUAAUGCCUCUAAGUAAUGGGUAGGGACCGCCUGGACGAAGGUAACUCUCUGACUGAUACCGGACGCUGAGGUGCGAAAGCUUAGGGGAGCAAAACAGGAUUAGAUACCCCUGGUAGUCCUAGUGGUAAACGGAUGGAUACUGGGUUUUGGCCCAUUAUAUGGUCUGUGCCGAAGCUAACGCGAUAAGUAUCCCCGCCUGGGGAGUACGGUCGCAAGAUUGAAANCUCAAAAGGAAUUGACGGGGACCCGCACAAGCCGGUGGAGCAUGUGGUUUAAUUCGACCGCAACGCGAGGAACCUUACCAGGCCUUGACAUCCUGUAAAUCUUUAAGAGAUUAGAGAGUGCCCUUUCGGGGGAAUACAGAGACAGGUGGUGCAUGGCUGUCGUCAGCUCGUGCCGUGAGGUGUUGGGUUAAGUCCCGCAACGAGCGCAACCCCUAUUGCUAGUUACCAUCAUUAAGUUGGGGACUCUAGCGAGACUGCCUGCGAUGAGCAGGAGGAAGGUGGGGAUGACGUCAAGUCCUCAUGCCCCUUAUGGCCUGGGCUACACACGUGCUACAAUGGGCAGUACAGAGAGAAGCGAAGUCGCGAGAUGGAGCAAAACUCAGAAAGCUGCUCUUAGUUCAGAUUGCAGUCUGCAACUCGACUGCAUGAAGAUGGAAUCGCUAGUAAUCGCAAAUCAGCUAUGUUGCGGUGAAUACGUUCUCGGGUCUUGUACACACCGCCCGUCACACCACGAGAGUCUAUUGCACCUGAAGCAGCCGGCCCAACCG